rnacentral:rRNA from 1 species
AGAGUUUGAUCCUGGCUCAGGACGAACGCUGGCGGCGCGCUUAACACAUGCAAGUCGAACGCUCUCGUCUCUCUUCGGAGGGAUGGGGGAGUGGCGAACGGGUGCGUAACACGUGAGCAACCUGCCUUGGGGUGGGGGAUAACCUCGGGAAACCGGGGCUAAUACCGCAUGUGCUCUUCGGCCCACCUGGGCGGGAGAGCAAAGGUGCUUUCGGGCACUGCCUUGAGAGGGGCUCGCGGCGUAUCAGCUAGUUGGUGAGGUAAUGGCUCACCAAGGCAGCGACGCGUAGGGGGUCUGAGAGGAUGGCCCCCCACAUUGGGACUGAGAUACGGCCCAGACUCCUACGGGAGGCAGCAGUGGGGAAUCUUGCGCAAUGGGCGAAAGCCUGACGCAGCGACGCCGCGUGGGGGAAGAAGGCUUUCGGGUUGUAAACCCCUUUCAGGAGGGACGAAGCCACUCGGGUGAAUAGCCCAGAGGGUGACGGUACCUCCGGAAGAAGCCCCGGCUAACUACGUGCCAGCCGCCGCGGUAAUUC